UACGUAGGGUGCGAGCGUUAAUCGGAAUUACUGGGCGUAAAGCGUGCGCAGGCAGUUCGUUAAGUCAGCUGUGAAAGCCCCGGGCUCAACCUGGGAAUUGCGGUUGAAACUGGCGAACUAGAAUCUGGCAGAGGGGGGUGGAAUUCCACGUGUAGCAGUGAAAUGCGUAGAGAUGUGGAGGAACACCGAUGGCGAAGGCAGCCCCCUGGGCUAAGAUUGACGCUCAGGCACGAAAGCGUGGGGAGCAAACAGG
rnacentral:rRNA from 1 species